GACGAACGCUGGCGGCGUGCUUAACACAUGCAGGUCGAACGAUGAAGCCUAGCUUGCUAGGUGGAUUAGUGGCGAACGGGUGAGUAAUACGUGAGUGACCUACCUUUGACUCUGGGAUAAGCCUGGGAAACUGGGUCUAAUACCGGAUACGACCAAUCUCCGCAUGGGGUGUUGGUGGAAAGCGUUAUGGAGUGGUUUUAGAUGGGCUCACGGCCUAUCAGCUUGUUGGUGAGGUAAUGGCUUACCAAGGCGACGACGGGUAGCCGGCCUGAGAGGGUGACCGGCCACACUGGGACUGAGACACGGCCCAGACUCCUACGGGAGGCAGCAGUGGGGAAUAUUGCACAAUGGGCGCAAGCCUGAUGCAGCGACGCCGCGUGAGGGAUGACGGCCUUCGGGUUGUAAACCUCUGUUAGCAUCGAAGAAGCGAAAGUGACGGUAGGUGCAGAGAAAGCGCCGGCUAACUACGUG
rnacentral:rRNA from 1 species